rnacentral:rRNA from 1 species
ACCAAAGCAAAGUUUUCAAAAAAAGAAAAACACAUGUGUAAGAAAAAAUGCAGUUAAGCACUUUUCAUUCUGUAAUGAUCCUUCCGUAGGUGACCUGCGGAAGGAUCAUUA